AUUUGAACGCCUGGCGGCAGGCCUAACACAUGCAAGUCGAGCGGAAACGAGUUAUCUGAACCUUCGGGGAACGAUAACGGCGUCGAGCGGCGGAACGGGUGAGUAAUGCCUAGGAAAUUGCCCUGAUGUGGGGGAUAACCAUUGGAAACGAUGGCUAAUACCGCAUGAUGCCUACGGGCCAAAGAGGGGGACCUUCGGGCCUCUCGCGUCAGGAUAUGCCUAGGUGGGAUUAGCUAGUUGGUGAGGUAAGGGCUCACCAAGGCGACGAUUCCCUAGCUGGUCUGAGAGGAUGAUCAGCCACACUGGAACUGAGACACGGUCCAGACUCCUACGGGAGGCAGCAGUGGGGAAUAUUGCACAAUGGGCGCAAGCCUGAUGCAGCCAUGCCGCGUGUGUGAAGAAGGCCUUCGGGUUGUAAAGCACUUUCAGUCGUGAGGAAGGUAGUGUAGUUAAUAGCUGCAUUAUUUGACGUUAGCGACAGAAGAAGCACCGGCUAACUCCGUGCCAGCAGCCGCGGUAAUACGGAGGGUGCGAGCGUUAAUCGGAAUUACUGGGCGUAAAGCGCAUGCAGGUGGUUUGUUAAGUCAGAUGUGAAAGCCCGGGGCUCAACCUCGGAAUAGCAUUUGAAACUGGCAGACUAGAGUACUGUAGAGGGGGGUAGAAUUUCAGGUGUAGCGGUGAAAUGCGUAGAGAUCUGAAGGAAUACCGGUGGCGAAGGCGGCCCCCUGGACAGAUACUGACACUCAGAUGCGAAAGCGUGGGGAGCAAACAGGAUUAGAUACCCUGGUAGUCCACGCCGUAAACGAUGUCUACUUGGAGGUUGUGGCCUUGAGCCGUGGCUUUCGGAGCUAACGCGUUAAGUAGACCGCCUGGGGAGUACGGUCGCAAGAUUAAAACUCAAAUGAAUUGACGGGGGCCCGCACAAGCGGUGGAGCAUGUGGUUUAAUUCGAUGCAACGCGAAGAACCUUACCUACUCUUGACAUCCAGAGAACUUUCCAGAGAUGGAUUGGUGCCUUCGGGAACUCUGAGACAGGUGCUGCAUGGCUGUCGUCAGCUCGUGUUGUGAAAUGUUGGGUUAAGUCCCGCAACGAGCGCAACCCUUAUCCUUGUUUGCCAGCGAGUAAUGUCGGGAACUCCAGGGAGACUGCCGGUGAUAAACCGGAGGAAGGUGGGGACGACGUCAAGUCAUCAUGGCCCUUACGAGUAGGGCUACACACGUGCUACAAUGGCGCAUACAGAGGGCGGCCAACUUGCGAAAGUGAGCGAAUCCCAAAAAGUGCGUCGUAGUCCGGAUUGGAGUCUGCAACUCGACUCCAUGAAGUCGGAAUCGCUAGUAAUCGUGGAUCAGAAUGCCACGGUGAAUACGUUCCCGGGCCU
rnacentral:rRNA from 1 species